GAUGAACGCUGGCGGCGUGCCUAAUACAUGCAAGUCGAGCGAACGGACGAGAAGCUUGCUUCUCUGAUGUUAGCGGCGGACGGGUGAGUAACACGUGGAUAACCUACCUAUAAGACUGGGAUAACUUCGGGAAACCGGAGCUAAUACCGGAUAAUAUUUUGAACCGCAUGGUUCAAAAGUGAAAGACGGUCUUGCUGUCACUUAUAGAUGGAUCCGCGCUGCAUUAGCUAGUUGGUAAGGUAACGGCUUACCAAGGCAACGAUGCAUAGCCGACCUGAGAGGGUGAUCGGCCACACUGGAACUGAGACACGGUCCAGACUCCUACGGGAGGCAGCAGUAGGGAAUCUUCCGCAAUGGGCGAAAGCCUGACGGAGCAACGCCGCGUGAGUGAUGAAGGUCUUCGGAUCGUAAAACUCUGUUAUUAGGGAAGAACAUAUGUGUAAGUAACUGUGCACAUCUUGACGGUACCUAAUCAGAAAGCCACGGCUAACUACGUGCCAGCAGCCGCGGUAAUACGUAGGUGGCAAGCGUUAUCCGGAAUUAUUGGGCGUAAAGCGCGCGUAGGCGGUUUUUUAAGUCUGAUGUGAAAGCCCACGGCUCAACCGUGGAGGGUCAUUGGAAACUGGAAAACUUGAGUGCAGAAGAGGAAAGUGGAAUUCCAUGUGUAGCAGUGAAAUGCGCAGAGAUAUGGAGGAACACCAGUGGCGAAGGCGACUUUCUGGUCUGUAACUGACGCUGAUGUGCGAAAGCGUGGGGAUCAAACAGGAUUAGAUACCCUGGUAGUCCACGCCGUAAACGAUGAGUGCUAAGUGUUAGGGGGUUUCCGCCCCUUAGUGCUGCAGCUAACGCAUUAAGCACUCCGCCUGGGGAGUACGACCGCAAGGUUGAAACUCAAAGGAAUUGACGGGGACCCGCACAAGCGGUGGAGCAUGUGGUUUAAUUCGAAGCAACGCGAAGAACCUUACCAAAUCUUGACAUCCUUUGACAACUCUAGAGAUAGAGCUUUCCCCUUCGGGGGACAAAGUGACAGGUGGUGCAUGGUUGUCGUCAGCUCGUGUCGUGAGAUGUUGGGUUAAGUCCCGCAGCGAGCGCAACCCUUAAGCUUAGUUGCCAUCAUUAAGUUGGGCACUCUAAGUUGACUGCCGGUGACAAACCGGAGGAAGGUGGGGAUGACGUCAAAUCAUCAUGCCCCUUAUGAUUUGGGCUACACACGUGCUACAAUGGACAAUACAAAGGGCAGCGAAACCGUGAGGUCAAGCAAAUCCCAUAAAGUUGUUCUCAGUUCGGAUUGUAGUCUGCAACUCGACUACAUGAAGCUGGAAUCGCUAGUAAUCGUAGAUCAGCAUGCUACGGUGAAUACGUUCCCGGGUCU
rnacentral:rRNA from 1 species